GUGAAUCAUCAAAUUUUUGAACGCAUAUUGCACUCUCUGGUAUUCCGGAGAGUAUGUCUGUUUGAGGGUCAGUUAAAUAAAAAUCGGGGUUUUUGCCACCUUUGGUGGUGACGCUUCGGAAUUGGGUCGUCUUUUCCUUUCGGUUAAGUGACUGAAAAUUUUUUGUAUGAUAUCUGGACGUAUUUAAAUUUAUUUUGUACGUUUUGUAAUAUCGAAUGUUUAUUUGGUGUGAUCCUCCUCCUGACUUACGUCUAUAAUUUUUCCUCUAAUUACCUCAAAUCCGGUAAGAGUACCCGCUGAA
rnacentral:misc_RNA from 1 species